rnacentral:rRNA from 1 species
UACGAAGGGGGCUAGCGUUGCUCGGAAUCACUGGGCGUAAAGCGCACGUAGGCGGAUUGCUAAGUCAGGGGUGAAAUCCUGGAGCUCAACUCCAGAACUGCCUUUGAUACUGGCGGUCUCGAGUCCGGGAGAGGUGAGUGGAACUGCGAGUGUAGAGGUGAAAUUCGUAGAUAUUCGCAAGAACACCAGUGGCGAAGGCGGCUCACUGGCCCGGUACUGACGCUGAGGUGCGAAAGCGUGGGGAGCAAAAGGG